rnacentral:rRNA from 1 species
ACACAAAAAUGCACAUACUGUGAGCUCGAUGAGUAGGGCGGGACACGUGGUAUCCUGUCUGAAUAUGGGGGGACCAUCCUCCAAGGCUAAAUACUCCUGACUGACCGAUAGUGAACCAGUACCGUGAGGGAAAGGCGAAAAGAACCCCGGCGAGGGGAGUGAAAAAGAACCUGAAACCGUGUACGUACAAGCAGUGGGAGCACGCUUAGGCGUGUGACUGCGUACCUUUUGUAUAAUGGGUCAGCGACUUAUAUUCUGUAGCAAGGUUAACCGAAUAGGGGAGCCGAAGGGAAACCGAGUCUUAACUGGGCGUUAAGUUGCAGGGUAUAGACCCGAAACCCGGUGAUCUAGCCAUGGGCAGGUUGAAGGUUGGGUAACACUAACUGGAGGACCGAACCGACUAAUGUUGAAAAAUUAGCGGAUGACUUGUGGCUGGGGGUGAAAGGCCAAUCAAACCGGGAGAUAGCUGGUUCUCCCCGAAAGCUAUUUAGGUAGCGCCUCGUGAAUUCAUCUCCGGGGGUAGAGCACUGUUUCGGCAAGGGGGUCAUCCCGACUUACCAACCCGAUGCAAACUGCGAAUACCGGAGAAUGUUAUCACGGGAGACACACGGCGGGUGCUAACGUCCGUCGUGAAGAGGGAAACAACCCAGACCGCCAGCUAAGGUCCCAAAGUCAUGGUUAAGUGGGAAACGAUGUGGGAAGGCCCAGACAGCCAGGAUGUUGGCUUAGAAGCAGCCAUCAUUUAAAGAAAGCGUAAUAGCUCACUGGUCGAGUCGGCCUGCGCGGAAGAUGUAACGGGGCUAAACCAUG